rnacentral:rRNA from 1 species
AGCGAACGCUGGCGGCAGGCCUAAUACAUGCAAGUCGAACGAAGCCUUCGGGCUUAGUGGCGGACGGGUGAGUAACACGUGGGAACGUACCCUUUGGUUCGGAACAACUCAGGGAAACUUGAGCUAAUACCGAAUGAGCCCCCAUCCUUGAACAAGAUGGGUGGGAAAGAUUUAUCGCCAUUGGAGCGGCCCGCGUCUGAUUAGCUAGUUGGUGGGUAAAGGCCCACAAGGCUACGAUCAGAGCUGGUCUGAGAGGAUGAUCAGCCACACUGGGACUGAGACACGGCCCAGACUCCUACGGGAGGCAGCAGUAGGGAAUCUUGCGCAAUGGGCGAAAGCCUGACGCAGCCAUGCCGCGUGAAUGAUGAAGGUCUUAGGAUUGU